GACGAACGCUGGCGGCGUGCUUAACACAUGCAAGUCGAACGGAAACGCCCUGCUUGCAGGGUACUCGAGUGGCGAACGGGUGAGUAACACGUGGGUGAUCUGCCCUGCACUUCGGGAUAAGCCUGGGAAACUGGGUCUAAUACCGGAUAGGAGCCAUUUUUAGUGUGAUGGUUGGAAAGUUUUUUCGGUGUAGGAUGAGCUCGCGGCCUAUCAGCUUGUUGGUGGGGUAAUGGCCUACCAAGGCGGCGACGGGUAGCCGGCCUGAGAGGGUGGACGGCCACAUUGGGACUGAGAUACGGCCCAGACUCCUACGGGAGGCAGCAGUGGGGAAUAUUGCACAAUGGGCGCAAGCCUGAUGCAGCGACGCCGCGUGGGGGAUGACGGCCUUCGGGUUGUAAACUCCUUUCGCUAGGGACGAAGCUUUUGUGACGGUACCUAGAUAAGAAGCACCGGCUAACUACGUG
rnacentral:rRNA from 1 species